UUAGCUCCACAGCCCACAAGAAGAAGCUCCAGAAAUAUUUUACCUGAUUUAGUUUUGCCGUCAUGUGAUAUGUUUUUGUUUUUGCUCUUUUUUCCUCCACAGAUUCUUCUGUCCAGACUGCCAACUUAGUAACUGUGGGUUUGGUCUUUUUCUACUUAGUUGUAACUGCAUUCAUCGUGUACAGGUGGAGAGCUAAAGGGAAUCAAACAGCAUGUGGUGAAGAUAAUGGUCUUGAUGGUGAUGUUGAUGAUGAAGUGACGCAUCACACUGUGGCCACUUCCUCCUUCCUCUGAACUUCCUCCUUCAUAUUAGACGCCAUGCAGUCAUGACAUCUCUGCAUUGGUAGCUUCAUGCUCCUGACGAUGCUUCUGUCCACACUCACAUGUCAGUGGUUGGUCAACCUCUCCACAUCUAGUCUGUGGUCUGUAAUCCACAUUUGUCACUGGCUGUAUUCACAAAGGUGAAUGUGUUGUCUACACAUUCGUCGUGCUACAACCAGUUUUGCAUCUCUCCUGGUUUUCUGUCUUGUGUCAAGCUACACUGGCUUGUGCGUGGUACAUUGUUAUGAAGACAACAUGCAUUAGUCCUGCUUAUUCAGAAGCCAUCAGGUCUUUGAUAAGCUCAAUAUGACAGUGUGUAAACAUGUGAAACCCUGCUACCUGAUUGCAUCAGUGCUCUGCCAUUCUUCACA